CAAAUAUUUCAAAUCAGGCCUAUUGUUCUUUAUUCCCACACUUUGUGAUCUUGAAGAAGACAAACUAAUUUUCUGAAGAUUAGCCUUCACAAUAGCAACAGGUUUUGCAAAAUGGGUGAAAUUCACUAUGGUUGAGGAAGAUGGAAUGUCAUUUUCAAGCGAUGGUUGACAUUGAUGCAACAGCGAUGGCAUCAUUAUCAAAGAAGAUUAGCCUUCACAAUAGCAACAGGUUUUGCAAAAUGGGUGAAAUUCACUAUGGUUGAGGAAGAUGGAAUGUCAUUUUCAAGCGAUGGUUGACAUUGAUGCAACAGCGAUGGCAUCAUUAUCAAAUCAUC
rnacentral:lncRNA from 1 species